GGGUCCAGAGAUAUGUCCUGUUAUUUCUGGAGGUUAAGAAGAUCGGAUAGUCGGGCCGCUAUCUG
rnacentral:ncRNA from 12 species